UGUUUUGUUGUAUUGAGAGGCAGGACGCGGCUCAGUGUGUGUAUGACUGCAGGCUGAUAGACACACACUGUCCUCACACACUGAACUCCUGAUAAAUAACUUUAUUAAGACUUAUUAACUGUCCUCCAUCAUGGAUCUGGACCCAACCGUCAUCCUUCCCGCCAUCCUCUUCACGGUCGUUGCCAUUUAUUUCGCCUCGUCGCUCCUCAACAAGAAGCCCGGCGCCUCCUCCUCCUCGGCCGGGAACAAGAAGCCCAAAGUGGGAUACGGAGAUGACGUCCCUCCGUCCAGAGCUCUGGGAGAACCGCUCCGACACGAGCCUGAAGCCUCCCCGCGCUCCGAGCCACCUGCUCCGGCUGUGGAGGACAUCGGAGCCGCUGAGACGAUCCAGGAUGCAGAAGUUAAGGCUGUCCCAGAACCAGCACCAGAACCAGUCCCAGAACCAGUGUCAGCACCUGAACCAGUCCCAGAACCAGUAACCGUACCACAGACUGUACCAGAACCACCUGCAGCACUAGAACCUGUUUCAGAACCAGAACCUGUCCCACAAGAACUUAUUCCAGAACCAGUUAAAGUACAAGAAGUAGCUGCAGCACCAGAACCUGUCCCAGAGCCAGUAUCGGAACCAGAACCUGUCCCAGAGCCAGUACCAGAACCUGUCCCAGAGCCAGUAGCGGAACCAGAAUCUGUCCCAGAGCCAGUAUCAGUACCAGAACCUGUCCCAGAACCAGUAUCAGUACCAGAAGCUGUUGCAGUGCCUGAGCCAGAACCCGUGACUGAGUCUGAACCGGUACCUGAAGCAGUCCUGCAGCCUGUGGCUGAACCAGAACAAGUUUCAGAACCUGCGCAGGAGUCCAUACCUGAGCUGAUCCCUGGAUCCACAGAAGACGACCUGCCAACCCCUGAACCUGUUUCUGAGGCAUCACCCGAGCCUGGACCAGAACCCGAACCAGAGACCGUCCUGAACAAUGGUGAGACUGAUGAGGCUGCAGCUGAAGAUAAAGUGAAGUUCACCGCUGGAAUGAAACAGAGCAAGUUUGAGACGCUGAUGACCAAGGAGGAGAUCGAGGAGGAGCAGAGGAUAGAGCUUACAUCCGAUUUUACUUCUCUAUAAUCAACCUCAGCACACUCUCACACACACACACAGUGUGUUAGGAGGGAGAUGAGCACCUGAAUGAUCCACAUCACACUUCACACCCCUCAGCUUCUUUUAUCCUCUUUGAUUUUCUUACAGCUGACGUUUAGAGACGACGAACACUGAGGAGUUAAUCCACCUGUGAUAAAGAUCGGCUCAGUUUGGUUCAUGAAGGAAAUUUAAUUUUUACAUCAUUUCAUAUAUUUUUAGUUUGUGGGAGGGGGUGACAGAGCUUUCAGGCCACAGCUGCUUGUGAAUAUAGCAAACGUCUUUACACCAAAGUGCCUUCAGGAAUCUGUGUUUUUUACAGUCUGUUUUUUUGAAGUGUUUUGAAGCAAAGGGAGAAACUUCAGGUGUAGAAAAGGAAGUGAGCUGCGUUAACAGAAAAGAAGGAUUGUGUGACAUUUAUUAAACUGUGAUCUAAACCCAAAUGAAGUUCAGCGUUGUGUUAAAUGUAGCCUGCAAGUCUCAAACACUUAAAACAGCAACCUAACAUCAAACUAUCAGCCUUUAUGUCUGCUAAAGCUAAUUUAAAACCCACAGAAGUGAAUCCACUCGUCUUCCAGUGAUGACAGGCUUCGGUUUUCAGUCCUGUUUUGGGGUUUGAGUUCUUCUGAGUUUGGUUUAAAUGUUUGACAUGCAAUAAAUGUGUGAAACCGUACGUAUGUUUAAUUUUAUUUGUUCCAGAGUUGAGAGUUUUGGAGGCUUUUAUAAAUUCUGGAUUAUUAAAAGUGACGUUUGUUAAAUCUGG